rnacentral:tRNA from 1 species
ACCGCGAUAGCUCAUCUGGUAGAGCAUCUGCCCGGUAUGCGGAGGGUCGCUGGUUCGUUUCCGGCUCACGGCG